rnacentral:tRNA from 1 species
GCUCCUAUAGUUCAAUGGAUAGAACAAAUCUCUCCUAAAGAUUAGAUUCGAGUUCGAUUCUCGAUGGGAGUA